CCGUACCCAACUACACUUGCGUCCUCAUCAACGUGUAUUUCCGUUUAUGUUGAGAUCAGCUGUACAUAGCGGAGCAUCGUAAAACACUUCAUUCAAACUGGACAGAAACAAAAUAAAACUCACUUAAACCGUCGUCGUUACUCUUUCCAACAAUCACCAAGUGUGC